rnacentral:RNase_P_RNA from 2 species
GUGGUGGGGUGAGACGGUCGCGGCCCGCGCUGCGGGUCGAGGAAAGUCCGAGCUCCCCAGGGCAGACUGCCAGGUAACGCCUGGGCGCCGCGAGGCGACGGACAGGGCCACAGAAAACAGACCGCCCACUUUGAGUGGGUAAGGGUGAAAAGGUGGGGUAAGAGCCCACCGCACAGCCUGGUAACAGGAGUGGCACGGUAACCCCCAGUUGGAGCAAGGCCAAAUAGGCGGCAAGGUCUGGCCCGGACCGUUUGAGCCGUGGGUAGGCCGCUUGAGGUGACGGGCGACCGUCACCCCAGAUAGAUGACCGUCCGAAUGAACUUUCUCGUUCGCACAGAACUCGGCUUACGGCCCCACCACCACA